rnacentral:rRNA from 1 species
UAGGGAAUCUUCCGCAAUGGGCGAAAGCCUGACGGAGCAACGCCGCGUGAGUGAUGAAGGUCUUCGGAUCUUAAAACUCUGUUAUUAGGGAAUAACAAAUGUGUAAGUAACUAUGCACGUCUUGACGGUACCUAAUCAGAAAGCCACGGCUAACUACGUGCCAGCAGCCGCGGCAAUACGUAGGUGGCAAGCGUUAUCCGGUAUUAUUUGGCGUAAAGCGCGCGUAUGCGGUUUUUUAAGUCUGAUGUGAAAGCCCACGGCUCAACCGUGGAGGGUCAUUGGAAACUGGAAAACUUGAGUGCAGAAGAGGAAAGUGGAAUUCCAUGUGUAGCGGUGAAAUGCGCAGAGAUAUGGAGGAACACCAGUGGCGAAGGCGACUUUCUGGUCUGUAACUGACGCUAAUGUGCGAAAGCGUGGGGAUCAAACAGG